rnacentral:lncRNA from 11 species
CUUCUGCAUAAAACAAGGCACUAAGUUUGUAAGCUUUGAGCUUUGCAUUUGGCUUAGCUUGAUGGCUCAUUGAGAGCUGAAGAAGCUGUUGCUAGGAGUGGUUAUGCAGCGUCUUGAGCAUGAAGCCGUUUGGAGUGCCAAGGAAGGCAAGAUAAGAACGUUCUAUUAAAAGCAAAGUUGCAGUUUGUUUGCAUUCUAUCGUUUGAAGAAGAAGACUCACCAGAAAUAUUGUUUUUUAUUGGUGGUCAUGGGGUUGAUGAUGAUGUCAGCAAAGGUGCCCUCCAAAGGCCACAAACUUUCCAGGAUUCCUUGGCUGCCUUGCGACAGAAACAGCAAAGCUCGAAAAGAAGAGCUGAGUGCAUGUCCACCUCCAUUUUUAUAGCGCCUUUUGCUAAGUAUUAAUUUUUAUUUUAUU